UACGGGGGGAGCAAGCGUUGUUCGGAUUUACUGGGCGUAAAGGGCGCGUAGGCGGUCGUGACAAGUCACUUGUGAAAUCUCCGGGCUUAACUCAGAACGGUCAAGUGAUACUGUCGGACUAGAGUGCAGAAGGGGCAACUGGAAUUCUCGGUGUAGCGGUGAAAUGCGUAGAUAUCGAGAGGAACACCUGCGGCGAAGGCGGGUUGCUGGGCUGACACUGACGCUGAGGCGCGAAAGCCAGGGGAGCGAACGGG
rnacentral:rRNA from 1 species